GGCGGUGGCGGCGGCGGCGGCGGUGGUUGGGCGUCGCCCGCCGCACCGCCCGCCGCGCCGCCCGCGUCGUCCGGCGGCGGCGGUGGAGACUGGAAGAGCGACAUCGAUAAAAUGAUGGGUUUCGGCGAUCCGGGCCAGGGAAAAGGAGACAAGCCACCGCCGUACAACCCCAACUUUUAGCGCUCCCUCUCCGGGAGAGCUGGGGGCGCUGAUCGCCAGCCGGCCGGGACCGGUCCGUAGAGCUCCAGGAAGCGGUCGCCGUCCCUGGCUGCGCUGUUGUGGCUGCCGUAGCUUCGGUGGGCUGCGCAGCGGCCGCCGAAGACGCGGGAGCGCUGACGCCCCGGCUCGCCGCCGGCGGCUACCCCGCGCGCCUGCUCGCGGCCCGGGACGCCCGACGUGGGACCUCCAUCCCCAGGCCCCGGCUUGUCGCGAGUCUGUGUCGCCGCCCCAGCGGACGUGUCUGCCGGGCCGGCGGGAGCCAGCGUCGGGGUGCAUCGCGGGAUGGAGACGGUCCCCGAGCGACGCCGCGGGCCGGCGCC